rnacentral:tRNA from 1 species
AAAGCUUUAAGUUAUUCAAACUAGUAGCCUUCAAAGCUAUUUAAAAGAGUUUUAACCUCUUAAGCUUUA